GCGCCGGGCGCUGGCAUCCAGCCGCUCCGCGCAGCCAGCGCACAGGGGGGAGCGCGGGGCCGGCGCUGCGCUCCACGAGGCGCGGGGCGCUCGGCCCGCCGCUGAACCUCGCUACAGCGAAGCAGCCUGAAAAAUACAAGUGACCUGACCCCUACUGGCGAGUUUAUGAAACUUGAUGUCUGCACUAGGGACAGAUGUUUCCUAGAGACAGAUUAAAGAAUGAGGAGCACAACAACAUGACAAUGCAAGGGAAAAGAAAUUAAUGGCUUGCAGUAAUACAGAAAAGAUAAUCUACUGACUGCAGCACUCACUACUUGGCCACAUCAUUCAAACAAACACUGUAAAGAACCGGGCGCCUAGAAGAACCUAGUGGGCAGCAGAGACUGCAUUGAACUUGUUGCAUCUUACUGCAACUUACUGCAGGAACUAGAACGUAGGUAUUAUAUCCACAAGCAAGAAUUAAGUUUCAUAACCAAAGUGUCCUAGAAGAAUUUGGCUUAUGAGCAUGUUUUCAUUUCCUUUACUGCUCUAUUCAUAAGAGUUUUUACAAUGAGUAUUUUAGGAAGAAUUGAGAACUGCUUUAUAGAUAUGGGACAAGAAACAAAAAAUAAUGUUUUUUAGGUCUAAGAAAUCAUUAUCAUAUAGGCUUUUUCUUUUUUAAGCUAUAUUAAAAACAAUACUGUAGCGUAGUUAACACCUUCAGCAGCUCUCUAGUUAAAACACUACUCAUCAUGGAUAGUGAUUGAAGGCCUAAGAACUCUGAGGAAUGGCCUCUGGCAAAUCUAACAACAGAAGCUUAAGAUGCACUAUAUCUGACUUUAAGCUUGAAAAAGGAAUUCAUUUUUAUAUUACACAUUUCACUGGUUUUAGUAAGUUUUACUUACUGGAUAAUGCACCUGGGCUUUGUGUUUAGCCAAAGCACCAUGGAAACAUUUAAACAAUUUACAUGAAUAAUAUUUCUAUUUUAGGGGUUUUGAAAGAGACUUACAGAGGUUGGACCUAAACUAUCUACUCCACCUCAAUGUUACUAUCUUUUUGAAAGACUCCAGUAAAGAAAGUUACUGCAUUCCUCAAAAAAAUUGAGGCAAGGCUAUUGAGACAAGUGAUUGCUGAGAUGUGAACAUUUUGUUCUAUGCAGAAUUAGAUAAAUUGUUAGGUUGAAUCAUGUUUCUGCCAGCUACAUAAGGUGAAGAAGCAGCUAACUGCUGUAGUUUUGGGGCAUUGCCCUACAGCCACAUGAAGGGAGGUGAAAACCAGGAGCACUGUCUGCAUGGUCCAGCUCUGGAGGCUCAGGCUGGACUUUGGGGAAAACCUCUUCACUCAGUGGGUGGCAGAGCAGCAUGACAGGCCACCAAGGGAGCCUGUGGAGUCCCCCUCCGUAGAGGCUGUCAAGACUCUGCUAGAUAAAGCCAUGGCUAACUUAAUCUGCUUUUGGACAGCUUUGUUUCAGGUGGGAAGCUGGACUAGAUAACCUCCAAAGUUCACUUCCAAUCAACAUUGCUAUGAUUCUACGUUAACAGAACAUUUACCUUGUCACCAUCUUGCAAGUCUUUGCAUAUGUCACCUGCAGAAGGCAGAUCUAGACAGAAGAAAUAAAAUGCAAAGCACUUUAGUAAUGUCAGAUUUGGCUAUAUACAGAAUUGAGAGAUUAAAUGCUAAAUGAUUUCUGAGAGAAAAAAAAAUCUUCCUUUAAAUUGGGGAUCAAAUAAAUCUGACCAGUAAUUUCUGCACUAAUUAAACCCUUUAUGCUUGAAAGCAAAAACAGUAAUUUUGAGGAAAGCUGUCUACAUAAUUUUACUACACAAUUGUAUUUUAAUGAUAGCUAUGAGAAUUGGAACAUUAGGUGUAGCAAAUGUAAUUUAGGACCAGCAUAGAUAUUUAUUCAAGAUCAGAAUGAAUUCAGAAGUCAUAUAUCCUUCAAUAUCCAUUUAAGCUACUCCAUGAGAAUGUUUUAAAGUCAUGACUUUAAAACAAGUGGUGGAUUGCUAUGACAGCUGAGAACAAGAAAGAACAAAAUGUAGCCUGUCAGGCUUUCCACAUGCUGAUGGUAUAGUCACCUGGAAUCUGAUAGCACAUCCCCCCAGAUGUAUUUUGGUAAUAAGCUUGUAUAUUGUAGGAGAUAAAUAAUGUGUCAACUACAUGUAAUUUCACCUAGUAACAGGAUUUUAUUAUGGAUAGAUAAGUGAUGUCAAGGUUUUGUUCAUACUAACAAAACAUUAAUAUGACAUGUAUAGCUUGUUUGAAUACACUUUGGGACAUCAGCAGUUACUAAGACAUGGUUGUAUAUAUACGCCCAUUUUUUCCACUGUGGUAACUUGACAUCCUUCCCUCCUUAUUCCUCCUUUGUUUAGUUUUCUGCAUCUGAGAUUCAUUACCCCUUAUGUCAUUUCAUCUAAAAACUGAGCCCAGAAGUACAUAAUAUAUAGUACAAUUUCCUGUGUAUUCCUCUGAUGUUCUCUAGUCAUGGCUAAUAAUGCAAAUACUUUUCAUAAGCCUCCUACAAGUUUUUAUGUAAGCAGAGUUUCUUAUGCUGAAUCAUCACUGUCUAUAAAAAUUUUUACUUAUGGGUGUGUUGGUAGUUUGAUGGGCAACCAUAUAUUAUAGCAUAUACUUAGUGUAGCCGGAGUAAAAAUGCUUUCAGGGAAUGUCAGCAUCAGAUUACAAGGAAAGUUUUCCCAACUUUCUACAAUAGUUGGAUAAAAUUCCAAGUCCCUAAAAUCUGAAGUCUAUGCUCUCAUAUGAAUAUUUAACAUUUUUUAUAAUUAAUAGUACUGCUACUGCACAGCUAACUGCUUAGUUUAAAAAUAAAUUUGUACCUCUAAGAUUACUUGAAAUAUUUUAUCAGCUCAGAAAACUCAAAUCUUAAUUAUACAUCCUGUGUCACAAAUGGUAUAUAUAGCUGAAAGAAAACUGGGAAUACAAAAGAAGCCUAUGAAUAAUCAAGAGUGAAUUUUAUCCCGUAACUUACCAUUUACCUAGAGUUCUGUAUCAAGUAUUAUUCAGUGAUAAAGCAGAGGAUCAAAUAUUUUAUGUCCAUUAUAAAUUCUGUGAUUGUGUUUUGCUGUUUAAUAAGUUUCUGCUGCAUGUUUGGAGCAUUACAUAGAUGAACAACUAAAUCAAGUUACUAGCCAUUCUUUAGAUUUACUAAAAAAAGAAAAGGUACUUUCAAACUGUCUUCCAAAAAUCAAAAUAUUUUAAUUUUUACUGAUAAAUUUUAUAAAUUUUCUUAGAAUUUAAAAUGGCUUUUAAAAAGCCAUCAUGAAAUGAGUUCCCACCCCUCAGUACACUGGUGCAACAAGCUGAAAAAAUGUACUCAGGGAUGUCUUUAACAACAAAGAGGAGAAUGGCAGCACCACAGAAACAGGAACCUGUUUUUAAUCAGUACAUUAGAAACAGAAAAAUUGGUUGAAAAGCACCUCUGGAAGUCAUCUGGUCGACCGCCUUCUCUGCCCCCUCAAAGCAGGACCAACCUCAAAGUUGGAAUGGAUUUUGAAGUUAACAGCUUGCUCAGGGCCUUGUCCAGUUGAGUUUUGAGUAUCUCCAAGGAUGGAGAUUUUACAGCCUCUCUGGGCCACCUGUUCUGGGGUUUGAUAAAAGUCUUUAGCCAUAUUUUUUAAAUGUAUAGUAAUAACCUUAGAUUUUAAUAUUAAAGUUGAAGCCAUAAUUAAAGUAAUACAGUGUGCUCAUAAUAUACCAACGGGAACUUGCGUGCACUAUUUACAUUAGUCAUACUGAGUCAGCUGACAAUACUCCGAAGCCUCUAGUAGCUUAAUACCAGAGAACAGAUCAGUUAAAAUUUGUAAACAGUAUUUUUCCUAUAACUAAGAACUCCUGGAAAAGCAAAAGCCAGGAGCUUGGGAUUAUAUUUGGUUAAAGCUGAAAUUAUUAAUAAACCUAAGUCUAAUCAAGCUGCUGUUUUUCCCAGUUACAAGUGCAGAAGUGUAACUAUGAAAACACAUUUUUGGUGACAAUGCAUAUGAUAUAAGUAACUAAAACAAUUUAUCAUCCUGUGCGGUACAUAAAUGAGAAACAUUAAGAAAACACAAUACAACUGUAUAGCUUACAAGUAAAUACUAGACUGUUUUCUCAGUUAAUGGAAACCAUUUAUUCUUUAUACUUCAGUAGAGAGUGGUGAGUGCUAAACUUCAGGAAUUCACAAAAUACAUUAUUUUUCAUGAUUCAUAUCUAAAAUGCAAGUUCCCUAAACCAGAUGAAUCACACAAUCACUUCAAGAAUAAAAACAGUGAAAUCAAGUAGAAUUUGCAUUUAUUACCAUAUAUUCAACUUUCUCUCGUUUUUCCAUCACUUAAAAUUAAUGGUGCUACUAAGCAUGUUGUGCACGUUCGAGGUCCUCAUCUCCUUUGGCUAUCACCACUCUUUUAGAACACACCACAAAGUGAAUCCAACCAAAAUGAUGUGCUGAUUUUGUAAUCACUAGUUUAUAUCUAGAUCCCUUAUCAUCAGUGUAUCAAAUCCAGUUCUUCAUUUGUUGGCCUAAAUUCAGAUUGUUUGCAGGUUCAAAUGUAUUUCCUUGUGAUUAUUUGCUCCCUUUGCUCUUGUAUGGGUGUUGGAAACAAUAAGGCCUUGUCUAAAUAAAAGCUUUACUGUUUUAAUUA